rnacentral:rRNA from 1 species
GACGAACGCUGGCGGCGUGCUUAACACAUGCAAGUCGAGCGGAGCGGCGCACGGGUGAGUAACGCGUGAGUAACUGCCCCCCUCUCUGGGAUAACAGUUGGAAACGGCUGCUAAUACCGGAUAGUGGGGGAUGACUCGCGUCCUAUCGGCUUUUUGGUGGGGUAGUGGCCUACCAAGGCGACGACGGGUACCCGGCCUGAGAGGGCGACCGGCCAAAAUGGGAGGAGAUACGGCCCAAACACCUAAGGGAGGAAGCAGUGGGGAAUAGUGCACAAUGGGGGAAACCCUGAUGCAGAAACGCCGCGUGCGGGAUGACGGCCUUCGGGUUGUAAACCGCGUCCAGCCAGGACGCGGUAGUGGCAGAAGAAGCACCGGCUAACUACGUGCCAGCCGCAGCGGUAAUAC